AUUGAACGCUGGCGGCAUGCCUUACACAUGCAAGUCGAACGGUAACAGGUCUUCGGAUGCUGACGAGUGGCGAACGGGUGAGUAAUACAUCGGAACGUGCCCGAUCGUGGGGGAUAACGAGGCGAAAGCUUUGCUAAUACCGCAUACGAUCUACGGAUGAAAGCGGGGGAUCUUCGGACCUCGCGCGGACGGAGCGGCCGAUGGCAGAUUAGGUAGUUGGUGGGAUAAAAGCUUACCAAGCCGACGAUCUGUAGCUGGUCUGAGAGGAUGAUCAGCCACACUGGGACUGAGACACGGCCCAGACUCCUACGGGAGGCAGCAGUGGGGAAUUUUGGACAAUGGGCGAAAGCCUGAUCCAGCCAUGCCGCGUGCAGGAUGAAGGCCUUUGGGUUGUAAACUGCUUUUGUACGGAACGAAAAGCCUCUUUCUAAUAAAGAGGGGUCAUGACAGUACCGUAAGAAUAAGCACCGGCUAACUACGUG
rnacentral:rRNA from 1 species